rnacentral:rRNA from 1 species
CCCAAACCCAAUGUGAACGUUACCAAACUGUUGCCUCGGCGGGAUCUCUGCCCCGGGUGCGUCGCAGCCCCGGACCAAGGCGCCCGCCGGAGGACCAACCAAAACUCUUUUUGUAUACCCCCUCGCGGGUUUUUUAUAAUCUGAGCCUUCUCGGCGCCUCUCGUAGGCGUUUCGAAAAUGAAUCAAAACUUUCAACAACGGAUCUCUUGGUUCUGGCAUCGAUGAAGAACGCAGCGAAAUGCGAUAAGUAAUGUGAAUUGCAGAAUUCAGUGAAUCAUCGAAUCUUUGAACGCACAUUGCGCCCGCCAGUAUUCUGGCGGGCAUGCCUGUCCGAGCGUCAUUUCAACCCUCGAACCCCUCCGGGGGGUCGGCGUUGGGGAUCGGCCCUCCCUUAGCGGGUGGCCGUCUCCGAAAUACAGUGGCGGUCUCGCCGCAGCCUCUCCUGCGCAGUAGUUUGCACACUCGCAUCGGGAGCGCGGCGCGUCCACAGCCGUUAAACACCCAACUUCUGAAAUGUUGACCUCGGAU